GACGAACGCCGGCGGCGUGCCUAAUACAUGCAAGUAAAACGCACAGUUUAUACCGUAGCUUGCUACACCAUAAACUGUGAGUUGCGAACGGGUGAGUAACGCGUAGGUAACCUGCCUGGUAGCGGGGGAUAACUAUUGGAAACGAUAGCUAAUACCGCAUAAUAUUGAUUAUUGCAUGAUAAUUGAUUGAAAGAUGCUAUUGCAUCACUACCAGAUGGACCUGCGUUGUAUUAGCUAGUAGGUGAGGUAACGGCUCACCUAGGCGACGAUACAUAGCCGACCUGAGAGGGUGAUCGGCCACACUGGGACUGAGACACGGCCCAGACUCCUACGGGAGGCAGCAGUAGGGAAUCUUCGGCAAUGGACGAAAGUCUGACCGAGCAACGCCGCGUGAGUGAAGAAGGUUUUCGGAUCGUAAGGCUCUGUUGUAAGAGAAGAACGGGUGUGAGAGUGAAAAGUUCACACUGUGACGGUAUCUUACCAGAAAGGGACGGCUAACUACGUGCCAGCAGCCGCGGUAAUACGUAGGUCCCGAGCGUUGUCCGGAUUUAUUGGGCGUAAAGCGAGCGCAGGCGGUUAGAUAAGUCUGAAGUUAAAGGCUGUGGCUUAACCAUAGUACGCUUUGGAAACUGUUUAACUUGAGUGCAGAAGGGGAGAGUGGAAUUCCAUGUGUAGCGGUGAAAUGCGUAGAUAUAUGGAGGAACACCGGUGGCGAAAGCGGCUCUCUGGUCUGUAACUGACGCUGAGGCUCGAAAGCGUGGGGAGCGAACAGGAUUAGAUACCCUGGUAGUCCACGCCGUAAACGAUGAGUGCUAGGUGUUAGGCCCUUUCCGGGGCUUAGUGCCGCAGCUAACGCAUUAAGCACUCCGCCUGGGGAGUACGACCGCAAGGUUGAAACUCAAAGGAAUUGACGGGGGCCCGCACAAGCGGUGGAGCAUGUGGUUUAAUUCGAAGCAACGCGAAGAACCUUACCAGGUCUUGACAUCCCGAUGCCCGCUCUAGAGAUAGAGUUUUACUUCGGUACAUCGGUGACAGGUGGUGCAUGGUUGUCGUCAGCUCGUGUCGUGAGAUGUUGGGUUAAGUCCCGCAACGAGCGCAACCCUUAUUGUUAGUUGCCAUCAUUCAGUUGGGCACUCUAGCGAGACUGCCGGUAAUAAACCGGAGGAAGGUGGGGAUGACGUCAAAUCAUCAUGCCCCUUAUGACCUGGGCUACACACGUGCUACAAUGGCUGGUACAACGAGUCGCAAGUCGGUGACGGCAAGCUAAUCUCUUAAAGCCAGUCUCAGUUCGGAUUGUAGGCUGCAACUCGCCUACAUGAAGUCGGAAUCGCUAGUAAUCGCGGAUCAGCACGCCGCGGUGAAUACGUUCCCGGGCCU
rnacentral:rRNA from 1 species